rnacentral:rRNA from 1 species
CCUACGGGUGGCAGCAGUAGGGAAUCUUUCACAAUGGGCGAAAGCCUGAUGGAGCAACGCCGCGUGCAGGAUGAAGGCCUUCGGGUUGUAAACUGCUUUUAUAAGCGAGAAAUAUGAUGGUAACUUAUGAAUAAGGAUCGGCUAACUACGUGCCAGCAGCCGCGGUCAUACGUAGGAUCCGAGCAUUAUCCGGAGUGACUGGGUGUAAAGAGUUGCGUAGGUGGGAGAAUAAGUAGCUAGUGGAAUCUGGUGGCGCAACCAUUCAGACUAUUAGCUAAACUGUUAAGCUCGAGACCGUUAGAGGCAACUGGAAUUUCUAGUGUAGGGGUGAAAUCCGUAGAUAUUAGAAGGAACACCAAUAGCGAAGGCAGGUUGCUGGGACGGUACUGACGCUGAGGCACGAAAGCGUAGGGAGCAAACGGGAUUAGAUACCCCAGUAGUC